rnacentral:rRNA from 1 species
UACGGAGGGUGCAAGCGUUAAUCGGAAUUACUGGGCGUAAAGCGCACGCAGGUGGCUGAGUCAGUCGAUUGUGAAAGCCCUGGGCUUAACCUGGGAAUUGCAGUCGAUACUACUCAGCUAGAGUAUGGGAGAGGGUAGUGGAAUUCCCGGUGUAGCGGUGAAAUGCGUAGAUAUCGGGAGGAACAUCAGUGGCGAAGGCGGCUACCUGGCCCAAUACUGACACUCAGGUGCGACAGCGUGGGGAGCAAACGGG